rnacentral:tRNA from 2 species
GGAGGGGUAGCCAACGAGGUAAGGCAGCGGCCUGUUGAGCCGCAUGGAUGCGAGUUCGAGUCUCGUCCCCUCCG